GACGAACGCUGGCGGCGCGCUUAACACAUGCAAGUCGAACGGGAUUUAGUAGACAGAAACCUCGGUGGAAGAUUACUAAUGAGAGUGGCGAACGGGUGAGUAACGCGUGAGCAACCUGCCUAUGACAGUGGGAUAGCCUCGGGAAACCGGGAUUAAUACCGCAUAAAAUCGUAGAAACACAUGUUUCAACGGUCAAAGAUUUAUCGGUCAUAGAUGGGCUCGCGUCUGAUUAGCUAGUUGGUGAGAUAACAGCCCACCAAGGCGACGAUCAGUAGCCGGUCUGAGAGGAUGAACGGCCACAUUGGAACUGAGACACGGUCCAAACUCCUACGGGAGGCAGCAGUGGGGAAUAUUGCACAAUGGGGGAAACCCUGAUGCAGCGACGCCGCGUGAACGAAGAAGGUAUUCGUAUCGUAAAGUUCUGUCCUAUGGGAAGAUAAUGACAGUACCAUAGAAGAAAGCUCCGGCUAAAUACGUGCCAGCAGCCGCGGUAAUACGUAUGGAGCGAGCGUUGUCCGGAAUUAUUGGGCGUAAAGGGUACGCAGGCGGUUUAAUAAGUCGAAUGUUAAAGAUCGGGGCUCAACCCCGUAAAGCAUUGGAAACUGAUAAACUUGAGUAGUGGAGAGGAAAGUGGAAUUCCUAGUGUAGUGGUGAAAUACGUAGAUAUUAGGAGGAAUACCAGUAGCGAAGGCGACUUUCUGGACACAAACUGACGCUGAGGUACGAAAGCGUGGGGAGCAAACAGG
rnacentral:rRNA from 1 species